rnacentral:rRNA from 1 species
UACGAAGGGGGCUAGCGUUGUUCGGAAUCACUGGGCGUAAAGCGCACGUAGGCGGCUUGUUAAGUCAGGGGUGAAAUCCUGGAGCUCAACUCCAGAACUGCCCUUGAUACUGGCAAGCUGGAGUGUAGGAGAGGUUGGUGGAACUGCGAGUGUAGAGGUGAAAUUCGUAGAUAUUCGCAAGAACACCAGUGGCGAAGGCGGCCAACUGGCCUAUUACUGACGCUGAGGUGCGAAAGCGUGGGGAGCAAACAGG